rnacentral:rRNA from 1 species
CCCUUAGAUGUUCUGGGCCGCACACGCGCUACACUGAAGGAGGCAGCGUGUACUCCUGGAUCGAAAGAUUUGGGUAACCCGCGAAUAUCCUUCGUGCUAGGGAUUGAGGUUUGCAAUUAUCCUUCAUGAACGAGGAAUUCCCAGUAAGUGCAAGUCAUAAGCUUGCGCUGACUACGUCCCUGCCCUUUGUACACACCGCCCGUCGCUACUACCGAUUGAAUGAUUUAGUGAGGACUUCGGACUGGGACCGAUGCGGCUUUCGGGCUGCGUCGGUAUUCUGGAAAGAUGUCCAAACUGUAUCAUUUAGAGGAAGUAAAAGUCGUAACA